AUGUUUGCUGAAAAUCGACACUACACAAGCAAUCCAGACUUGAGAGUUGAGAGUAAUACCAUGGCAGCACUUGUUGCCGGAACGAAAAACAUACAUUUGUAUGCAUACACAACGAGCCGUUUUUUAAAUCUGUUUUUAUAUAUGUCAAAACUCAUGAGCAAGCAAGAUUCUUGGGAACAAACAAACACCUCUCAUGCAAGAAGAAAGAAACGAGAUCUGCAGAAUAUUAAUGCGAUUCUUCCCUUCUUUUGCUGUGUAAAUUUAUAUAUAUCUAUAUAUGAUUAUGAUUGCUAUAUGGAAAUGGAUAUGGCUAUGGAUGGAUCUGUGGCUGGCCGUAUGCACAAGGUCACAAACAAACAGGAGCGCCACGUGCGUACGUACAUAACAUACUCCUCGAUCCACCGAUCACGUGUGGACGUGUAG
rnacentral:rRNA from 1 species